UACGUAGGGUGCGAGCGUUGUCCGGAAUUAUUGGGCGUAAAGAGCUUGUAGGCGGUCUGUCGCGUCUGCUGUGAAAAUCCGGGGCUCAACCCCGGACUUGCAGUGGGUACGGGCAGACUAGAGUGUGGUAGGGGAGACUGGAAUUCCUGGUGUAGCGGUGAAAUGCGCAGAUAUCAGGAGGAACAUCCGUGGCGAAGGCGGCUCUCUGGGACGGUACUGACGCUGAGACGCGAAAGCGUGGGGAGCGAACAGG
rnacentral:rRNA from 1 species